GGUAAUAUGGCUGAAUUAUAGGCAGUAAAUUGUAAAUUUACUUAUGGAGUUUCUUCUAUUACCA
rnacentral:tRNA from 1 species